CUGAGAAUGGCCGAGUAUUAAGGUGAUAGAUUGUAGCUCUAUUUACGGAUUUUUCCUUCUUUGA
rnacentral:tRNA from 1 species